UACGUAGGGUGCGAGCGUUAAUCGGAAUUACUGGGCGUAAAGCGUGCGUAGGCGGUUGGCCAAGUCAGCUGUGAAAGCCCCGGGCUUAACCUGGGAAUGGCGGUUGAAACUAGUCGACUAGAAUCUGGCAGAGGGGGGUGGAAUUCCAAGUGUAGCAGUGAAAUGCGUAGAUAUCUGGAGGAACACCGGUGGCGAAGGCGGCAUCCUGGGAUGUGACUGACGCUCAUGUACGAAAGCGUGGGGAGCAAACAGG
rnacentral:rRNA from 1 species